rnacentral:lncRNA from 1 species
UGGGCAUUGAGAAGAUUUGUUAAAAAUACUGCCAGUUCUUUUUACGAGCAAGAUAGCUGAAGAAGGAAUUGGAAGAAUCUGAGCCAUGAAGGAACCUGCACUAGGAGAAGGAGAUGGGAGUUCCUGGCAACAUUCUUUUCCUAACAUCAGAAAAAGUGAUCAAAAGAGACAGAAGGAUCAAGGGAGAGCAUUGCUUUAGACUUGUCCAUACAAGUAAAACAAGAAGAAAUGCAUUGGCCAAGGGGCACCUGGACCCUAAUUGAGGAGCUGCUGAUGUGAAACAUGCACAAGAGUCAGACGUGAGUAGAAGCAGCCUGGUGUGGAGCUUACUUGAGCACGGCCACAGCCUUGUAAAGAAACGCCACAGCCUUGUAAAAAACAUCACAGCCUUGGAAAUUAUGCUUGGUACAAUUAGUCUGCUCUGUGCUUUAGGGUUGUUCUUCACUGUGGAAGUUUAAUAAGCCUGAAGGAGGCAUAGUGUCUGCACUGCAGCCUGCCUAUUUCAUUUAUGCUCUUCCUUUCUGAAGAUAAAACAAUGCUGUGUGUAUAUUCUGUUAUGAUAAUAUGUUAAGCUAAUUUCUUUCAAUAACUGAAAAUGAAAUAAUGUUAAUUGCUAAAGAGAGAAAAAUAGUUUUUCAUAGCACCAUUUAAAACUGUUUAACUAAAUGGAAUUAACAAUAUAUAUAUUAUUUUUAUGAAAGUUGUUUUCUAGUUCAGAUCUAUCCUCUGUUUUCUGCAAAUUUCUGUGCAUCUAUAAAAUCUGUCAAGUCUGCUUUUGUUGACAGGCAAUAUUGUUCUUCAUUUGGAAGUUUGAUUUGCUUCCUAUGAGUUUUCUUGAUAUAUACUACAACUGCAGCUAUAACUUAAGCUUGAAAAAUCCCACCCUCCAAGUAGAUGAACUGGCAAGAAAGAGGAAACAGACUAGCAAUAUCCUUCCUUGCUGUUUAAUGAAAUACCAUUACAAAGUCAACGAGAUGCACUAGAAGCAGGAACUAAAGUAAGUGUAGAAGCCUCCUCCCUUUCUCCUUCAAGUUCGUUUGGAAAGAAUACAAGAUUUGAUGCUCCUUUUAUGAAGGUAUGAUGUGGUAGAUGUUUUUGUGUGGUUCCAAGCCCCCUCUUCAUUAUUUGAAGGAACUGGGGGAAGUUGUGGGUUUGUACAAUGUUUGAGCCAAAAGCUGGGGGUUAGCAGUCUUGCCUGUGGUGAUGUUUGUCUGCAUCAUGGAAGUGUAACAAAUAAAAUUGGGAGAGCUCAUAACUUUUGGAUUAGU